rnacentral:rRNA from 1 species
UACGAAGGGGGCUAGCGUUGCUCGGAAUUACUGGGCGUAAAGCGCACGUAGGCGGAUUGUUAAGUCGGGGGUGAAAUCCUGGAGCUCAACUCCAGAACUGCCUUCGAUACUGGCGAUCUCGAGUUCGGGAGAGGUGAGUGGAACUGCGAGUGUAGAGGUGAAAUUCGUAGAUAUCGAGAGGAACACCGGUGGCGAAGGCGGCCAACUGGACAGAUACUGACGCUGAGACACGAAAGCGUGGGGAGCGAACAGG